rnacentral:rRNA from 1 species
AAGUUGCGCCCUAAGCCCCUAGGCCGAGGGCACGCCUGCCUGGGUGUCACGCAUCGCUGCCCCGCCGCCUCCCCGCCCUCUCCCGAGGGCGCCCGGCGGUGCGGGCGGACAUUGGCCUCCCGUGCGCUCUCCGCUCGCGGUUGGCCCAAAUACGAGUCCCCGGCGACCGGCGCCGCGACGAUCGGUGGGAANGAAAAUCUCCUCGAGCGCACGUCGCGGGCCCUCCCGAGGGAAUCAGGGACCCCCAAGCUCCGCGCAAAGCGGCGCUCGCUCCGCGACCCCAGGUCAGGCGGGACUACCCGCUGAGUUUAAGCGUAUCAAUAAGCGGAGGAAAAGAAACUUACCAAG